rnacentral:snoRNA from 1 species
CCCAGCUACAGGAAACUGCCUAGGUUGCCUUGAGUCUAGGCAAGUGUUACAUUGCUGGGAGAAAAGUAGCCAAAGCUGGUGGGCAUU